GACGAACGCUGGCUGCGUGCCUAAUACAUGCAAGUCGAGCGAACAGACGAGGAGCUUGCUCCUCUGACGUUAGCGGCGGACGGGUGAGUAACACGUGGAUCACCUCCCUAUAAGACUGAGAUAACUUCGAGAAACCGGCUCUAAUACGGGAUAAUCUAUUGAACCGCAUGGUUCAAUAGUGAAAGACGGUGUUUCUGUCUCUUAUAGAUGGAUCCGCGCCGCAUGAGCUAGUUGGUAAGGUCACGGCUUACCAAGGCAACGAUGCGUAACCGACCUGCCAGGGUGGUCGGCCACACUGGAACUGAGACACGGUCCAGACUCCUACGGGAGGCAGCAGUAGGGAAUCUUCCGCAAUGGGCGAAAGCAUGACGGAGCAACGCCGCGUGAGUGAUGAAGGUCUUCGGAGCGUAAAACUCUGUUAUUAGGGAAGAACAAAUGUGUAAGUAACUAUGCACGUCUUGACGGUACCGAAUCAGAAAGCCACGGCUAACUACGUG
rnacentral:rRNA from 1 species